UACGUAGGCACCAAGCGUUGUCCGGAUUUAUUAGGCGUAAAGAGCUCGUAGGCGGUUCGGUAAGUCGGGUGUGAAAACUCUGGGCUCAACCCAGAGCCGCCACCCGAUACUGCUGUGACUCGAGUGCGGUAGGGGAGCGGGGAAUUCCUGGUGUAGCGGUGAAAUGCGUAGAUAUCGUAAGGAAGACCAGUGGCGAAGGCGGGUCUCUGGACAGUUCCUGACGCUGAGGCACGAAGGCCAGGGGAGCAAACGGG
rnacentral:rRNA from 1 species